ensembl:lncRNA
GAUAGUGAGAGGAGCUGAGACAGUAGCAGAGCGAACCAGAGGCAGGGACGAGGCGGUGAAGGAGCAGCUCUCCUCCUGAGCCUCCAUCCCAGAGAAGACAGAGCGGCAGCAGAGUCCCUCCUCGGCUCAACGCUUCAUCCCCCUGCAGCUUCUGAAGUUCACACCGAGACGCCCGUCGUGAGGUCAAAAGAACACGAUGUACUGAGAGUGUGAGCUGUGACUGAACCUGCCAAGACUGACUGUCCUGAACACACAGCAGGGGAGGAGAAAGAGGUUGGAAGGAUGGAGGGGGGGGGGUUGCUGCUGCUGCUCAUCCGAGGCGAAGAGAAGAGCCAAAAGGAGGCAGCAUCCUUAUCAAAGGCCCGGGUGCUGAGCCUCAGUUAAAAAUAGAAACCGGAGGAGAUUGGCAUCGAUUUCUGCAGGCGUUGACGGCCCGAUUGACAGCAGCACC